UACGUAGGGGGCAAGCGUUAUCCGGAUUCAUUGGGCGUAAAGCGCGCGCAGGCGGGUUGCUAAGCGGGACCUCUAAUCCUGGGGCUCAACCUCAGGCCGGGUCCCGAACUGGCAGCCUCGGGUUCGGUAGGGGAGAUCGGAAUUCCCGGUGUAGCGGUGGAAUGCGCAGAUAUCGGGAAGAACACCGAUGGCGAAGGCAGCAUACCGGCGCCCGACUGACGCUGAGGCACGAAAGCGUGGGUAUCGAACAGG
rnacentral:rRNA from 1 species